GGCCCCGUAGCUCAGUUGGAUAGAGCACCAGAUUCCUAAUCUGGGGGUCGGAGGUUCGAAUCCUCCCGGGGUCGCCA
rnacentral:tRNA from 1 species